CAUUUUUGACUUCAUGUAUUCAGGAGAGAUUGGGGUUAUUAAUGAGUCACUUGAAAAUCAUACCAAUAGCUGCCCCUACCUGGGUUAGUUACAGAGCAUCACCCCAUUCUGGUAUGCAGUGCUCAUCUCUUAGUAGUAUGUCAGUAAAUACUUGCUGUAUGAAGGAAGGAAAGUCACUUGCAAACGUGACCAGCCUUCUAUAAAUAAACAACUUGUGAGUAGGCGGUCUCAAGAUACCUUCUGAACUAAGCUCUUACAUCUUGACUACUUUGGGGCUAGAAUGAAAAUUUUAACGCCUUCUCAAUUGCCUUCGCUGCAAUGCCCAGCGCUUCCCUUUACACCCAUGACCUCUACAGGCUUCUCUUCUUUCCGCUCAAGAACAAUGAUUGCCCACCGCUGUCUCCGCCACACGGGCUCUAGAGCCUGGGGUCAGAGGUACACGGACUUGGGCCUCCACCGCAGGCAGUGUCUCUCUCUCUAAUCUAGUCUUGGGGCUAGGGACAUCUCCCUCCUUCCCAGCAGCCUCUACCGCGACUCCAGCCCGCCCUCCUCUGCCUUGCCCUUUGCGACCCUCCCUUCUCUCACACAGCGCUCAGCAUAAAACAAGCCUUUCCCUCUCAACCCCACCGCCAGCUUUCCCGCUUCCGCCCGGCGCGUGUGGCCCGGGGCGGGGCAAGGGAGGCUCCUCCGAGUUGGCGAGGGGCGUGGGCCGUGACGUCACCGCGCCCUGACGUCGGGCAGACGUGUAGCACGGUCUCCCGGGAGACCGGGAAAGCCUUUCGCACUCGGAGUCGAGGUCUAGAGAGAUUUUCUGGGUUGGCAGUAUUUUCUUCAAUCAGAACCUGCCAAAUUUUCCUACUUGCUAUAUAAGAAGGACCCAAAGUUGGAAUACCUUUACAGAUAAAGAAGAUUAUUUUACUUCAGAACUCCCUCUGCAUAUUUUGAGAAAUUAUGGAUCGUCACAUCCCCAUGCACGUGUUACCUGAAGAAAUCCAAAAGAUGUCCCCUGAAGAAAAAGUUUGUAAGUACUGUGGAGUCAGCUAUCUAAUUCUUCACGAGUUUAAAGCUAUGGAAGAAAAAAUGAAAGCGAUGGAAAAAGAGAUGAAAUUUUAUCAAGGAAGUGUAGAUCGUGAAAAGAGACUUCAAGAAAAGCUACGGUCUCUUAGUCAAGAUUUUGAACAGUACAAAAUUGACAAUGAAUCCAAAACAGAAAGAAUUUGGGAUGUAAGUAUGCAGUUAAAAAAUCAACAAAAUGAAUUUCAGAGAGUACAGAAAGAAUUGAAUCAUUUGCAACAUGAAUUAAAUAUUAAACAGAGACAAUCACAAGCAUUCAGUCAAAGAUUGGUGGAGUACAAAUAUUUGUGGAAUAAGACUCUUUCAUUACUUACUUUUACUAAAAGGGAGCUAACCAGUAUUAAAAAUGAAGUAUAUGACAAUUUUCAAAACUGGACUUCACUGAAAGGAGAAGUUUUUCUACAAAUUAAAUCCAUAAGUGAAACAGCCUUGACAGAAAUAGAGAUACUAAAGAAAAGUUUGACAGUGUCCCAGAGAAAUAAGAUGUGCCUUGAAGAGGAAAUGAAAAAUCUGAAAUUGUUGUCAGAUGCAGCCAUACUGAGGUCUCAGCAGAUUCAGACAUCCCAACAACAGGAAGCAAACUUGCAAACCAGAUGCCAUGACUUGGAAAAAGAAGUACUAGGUUUACAAUGUCAAGUAGAGGCACUUGGGCUAAAACAUCAGAAGGCAGUGACAGAGAUUGACAACUAUAAAGAAAAGCUCAUGAAUAAAUCUAAUGAAGCUGAUGACUGUCAAAGAGAACUUAGAAAACUGAAGUUUGAAUCCAUUAUUUCUGAGUCACGGCAUACCAGAUUGCUUAAAGAGAAAGAGGAUUCUUUAAUGGCUUGUCAACAAAUAUAUAAAACUUUACAGGAAGAACUGACUGCGAAAGAAAGACAAGAAGAAGACAUAAAAAGAAGAAUUAACUUUGCAGAAAAUGAACUACAGAUAACCAAAACUCUUCUGCAUCAGACAAAGGAAGAGGUUGUAACGCUGAAAAGCGAAAGGGAAUUAAUGCUGAUUUCACAUCAGAAAAGCAUCGAGCAGCUGCAGGAAACCCUUAGACAGAAGCUGCUGAAUGAUGAUAACUGGAGAGAGAAGAUUGAAGCUGAACUUGCCAAGGAAAGAGCCCAGCAUUUAGUUGAGUUUGAGGAGCAAGCUCUGCUUUUUAAAGCAGAAGCUAAACUGGAACUUGAUAUUGAAAAGGAAAAACAUCAAGAAAUAAUCUAUAAAUAUAAGAAAGAACAAGAGGAACUAAAAAUGAAGAUAUCUGAUUUAAUCGCAAGUGCUACUAGAGAUCUAAAGCUGGAAGUGGCCACCCUUGAAGAAAAACUCCAUGAAUCUUGUAUCCGACAUACUGAAGAUUCUGAAUCAAAGGAGAAAGAAAUUGAAAACCUUAAAAAUUUGGUUGCAGAAUUUGAAGCCCGCCUGAAGAAAGAAACUGACAGUAACGAUUCCAUUUCAGAGGACUUGAGGAAGGAAAUGAAGCUGAAGUCAGAUGAGCUAGAUAGAGUAAUGCUGGCACAAACACAACUGAUGCAGCAGUUUAACCAGUCCCAGGAACAGAACACUUUUCUUCAGGAAACAGUGCGCAGGGAGUGUGAAGAACGCUUUGAACUGACAGAGGCUUUGAGCCAAGCCAGAGAACAGCUUCUGGAGCUCAGGAAGCUCAGUGGAAGUUUACCUUUGUCGCCGUGUUCCCUUAACCAGGGCAGCCUAACCUCCUCUGCUGCAGUGGUCAGCAGCCGGGGAGAGAGAAGCCUUGCAAGACUGAACUCUGGAAAAGGAAUCAAAAUCCCCAGCCUGCAUGGAGUGUCAAAACCCACCACUGCCCCAACCUCAGUUCAACCCAACAGGGUCAGCAGCUCAGGUACAUUCUUAACUCUCAAUGGCCCCCAGAUACCCAGAGUUUCUGCAACCAUCCCCACCCCUCCAGAAUUAGGACAGCUCUCGAAGGACACAGGGAAAGAUUCCAGGGAAGGCAAAUCCAACCAACCUCACCAGGUUCAAGCACUUGCCCUGGGGCCAGGGACAGGAAGGCACCUUGACUAAACAGCUUCCCAUGUGUGGGAGAGGUAAUUACCAGAGGAAGAAGAGACGAGAUUCCUUCCGCAGAUACCUCCAUCAUCAAGCCAGGCAGUGACAGCAUGACAAAGGGGACAGUGUUUUAUUUGCUUUGUGUGUUUGGGGUAACUAAGUGCUGGCCCCAUGAGGCCUGACCAGUGGGACUUUGCUAACUGUGAGGAGGCAGCCUGGAUAUAUCACAGCAAGAAGACGGUUUCCACAGGGCAUGAAGCUGGAGGGUGUUAUCUCUGUCACUGUUCACGAGGCAGCGGUGAGGUAGGCACCAUUACUUCCACGGGUGCUCACAAGGACACUGAGGCUGGGAGAAGCCCAGUGACUAACUCAAACCCCAUGACCAUGUGCUGGCAGCCUAAAACCCAGCCAGGGCUUUCCAACUCUGACUGUGCUUUGCAUUCAGUAAGCCCUGAUUUUUAGUUUCCCCCACCAGUACGACUAUACCGAUCCCUGCCUGCCAGCUCUCUCCCCAGCCAGCCCACAGGGGUCAUCUCCUUGGCAGCUGAGGCAGACAGAAGGGGCCAGACACUCAGCCAGGGCCUGGAGCCCACUGGCCCCGGGGCCCCACGUGCACUCUGGACCACAUCUCAUGCUGCCCGCCCUGCAUUCCAAACCCCGGUCACAGCUCCAGAAAGAUGCACAUUUUAAAGCAGUACUAUUGUCUGGCUUGUAAGCCUAGUUUCUGGGAGGGGGAGAGAGAGAGAGAAAAUGAAUCUCAAGCAGGCACCACACCGAAUGUGACCUUGGGAUCAUGACCUGAGGGGAAAUCAAGAGUCAGCUGUUCAACCGACUGAGCCACCCAGGCGCCCUGACCCAGCAGCCAUUUAAAGGUUAGAUGCACAAAGAGCAAAACAAAUACAGGCCACACCAAUGGUACAUUAUGGAACAGGCGGAAGCUGAACAUAAUGCUGAGAAAUGCUGGGGGGGGGGGGGGGAGGUGGGGAGGGGGAGAUACAGUUAUCAUAGGUAAGUAAGGUGGCAUCCAAAGGAUGUAAGAGAAGGCGAGGAAAGCAUCCAUCACACCUCCCUUUCCUCGUACUUUCACUAAAACUCUCACCGUGUCCCGUGCUUCGGGGCAUGCAGACACAGAAGGCACCAUCCCCGUGCUCCAAACACCUGCAAUCACGUGAGAGUGAUAGGAAUUGUGCACAAGUAAGCAAAUGACGAAAAUGUCAUUUUGAGAGGCACAGCAGGCACGUGCAACAAUGUUCGGUGAAAGGGGUGAUGCCUGCAUGCGGCGGAACUCUCACGUGACCUGGGCCUUGGAGCAUGCGCGCUGGGCGUGGGAGGUGAGUUUGCCCCGGGAGUCCAGAGAGUUACAGGGGGGUUAGGUGUCCUGUGGCCAAAAUCUCUGUAAAGAGGGUUUGGGCUUAAAGCGUUAGUCCUGGCUUGUCUUCUGGUCACUGAGCAAAACCCCCUGUGCUUCAUUUUUCUCUCUUUCCUAUUUCCAAGCAAAAAGACCAUACCUACUCUUAUGAGGAAUCACGGGCUAUGAGGAGCCCUGUGGAGCUUAAUGGCGAAACUACCCACAUUGGCAAGGUUCCAGGCAGAUGCUAGUGGUUACAACCCACAGGCUAUCAGGUGUUGUUUCCUCUCCGGUGCGUCUGCCUCACUCGGUAACAGCGACUCAGAAAACUACCCAGGCAAAAAGUCAGAUGCUUUGAAGAUGUACUAAUAUUUCAACAGCCCAAAUGUUCUCCAGGACCAAAUCUUUACCAGAGCUACUAACAAGUAGUCAGAUGGACUGCCCUGUGCACUUUCUCCUCUGACAAUGAACUCAGAGAGAGGUCAGCAGCCGGACACAGAAAGAGGAGAAGGGUCCUGAAUACACACAGACAGUUUAAUCACCCGUGAAGAAAUCCAAGAGUUGACUGAAAGUGCUUUGUCAGGAAGAGUAGAGAGGCCCCUGCCCUCAGAGAAAGGCGAGGAAGGCUGGAGGUCGCCUGGGCAGCAGAGAUGGUGGCAGACCAGAGAGGCCACGGUGGAGACACCAAGGGCCUGGUGGGAAGGUCAGUGGGAAGACUCAGAAACAGGAGGGCAGGGAGAGCCAGCACUCUCCAAAGGACCUGGCAAACAAAAGUUCCCUAGAAAGAAGAUCAAAAUUUAGCUCAGUAGGAAGGGAAGACAUUAUUUUUAAAACCACCAUAUUUACUUAAGUGUAUUCCUUCAAGUGUAUGUCAUUCCUGAUUCCAGACUCCUCAGAAUAUUUGAAAGACUGGUUUAUUCAGGCUACAUCAAUGUCCCUUGCUUACAUUUAAAAAAUCAAGGGCAAGCUAUGUUGGUAUGUGAAAGGGAAUUUAGAUGAAUGAGGGCCAACUCCCAGGCUCUGGCCUUGUAAUUACUUUCUUUGUAAGCCUGAAUACUCAAUCAGAUGGAUGCCUUCUCCACACUUUUUGUCAUAUUUAUGGAAUACCUUUAAACAAUGGAAUCUGGAAACUCCAGCAACAUCUGUGUCCAAAUAUAUCCAAGCCCGUUUAUGUUUUUAAUUGGAAAUCCAACAAUUUUAGAUGAACUAAUCCAUGGUAUCAUUGGAAGUGCAUAUUUUUUACGUAAUUCUUGAGAGCAGUUUGCAAACCAUUAAAGUAACUCGGCAUCAUGCUUUAUCUUCAAAAGAUAUCUCUCAACUGUGAUUACUAUCGGAAUGAAAUCAGGGGUAGCAUUCAAAAAAGACUGCAGCAUGAAAGGUUUGCAGAAGAAUUCUGACUCCACUGGAAAACCAUUGCUUUUAGGCCAGUUCUUCCAUUCGCCUUGGCUCAUGGUUGUUUGUUCUCAUUCCAAUUAAAGAUGCGAUUCACUGAAGAGUCUUUAACUUCGUUAAAGCAAAACUUUCUAUUAAGGUUAUCCGGCACUGGUGGGCUUCUAAUCGGACAUUCUCUGCAGGCAGGAGAAUGCUACUUUGAAAUCCUCCGGUUUUGUAUGAAGCAACUCUCCUUUCUACACAGAGACUCUCAUUUCUGUGGUCUGGCCUGGUGAAAUGUGUAUUCCUUUAUGCUCAGUUUGGUUAUUUUAGGCCCGUAUCUAUGGGCCCACUAAUUUCUAUGAGAGGAUGACUUGUGUAGAAGGAAAGUUGUGUUUUUAUUGAAUCCUUGGUGAUUAGAAAAAACUUAAACCAAUUAAGGGUUCCCAUCACCUGGAAUUUCUUAGGAGGAAGUGACUUUCCAAGGCAUGUGGGAAUUAUCAAGAAAAUAAUUUUCCCUUGAAAUGGUGUGUUGGUACACAAGAGGAGGGCUGGGCAGGAUAUCAAGAGGAAGUGGUCGCUCACACGUGAGGAAAUGAGUUGAUAUUUUCAAGGCUAGAUGAACAGGAGACCAGGGCACAUUUUCCUCAUUUACCCUUUCAUUUUAAAAAGUGGUGGAAUUCAGGUACACCUUGAUUGUUCUGGAUAAUAAAGGAUACAUGAGACAUGAAUAGAAAAACCACAAAUGGUCAGUAAAAGAAGUAAACCGGGGAUCACUUUUUCUCCUGUUUAUU